GAUGAACGCUGGCGGCGUGCCUAAUACAUGCCAGUAGAACGCUGAAGGAAGGAGCUUGCUCUUUCCGGAUGAGUUGCGAACGGGUGAGUAACGCGUAGGUAACCUGCCUGGUAGCGGGGGAUAACUAUUGGAAACGAUAGCUAAUACCGCAUAACAGUAGAUGUUGCAUGACAACUAUUUGAAAGGGGCAAUUGCUCCACUACCAGAUGGACCUGCGUUGUAUUAGCUAGUUGGUGAGGUAACGGCUCACCAAGGCGACGAUACAUAGCCGACCUGAGAGGGUGAUCGGCCACACUGGGACUGAGACACGGCCCAGACUCCUACGGGAGGCAGCAGUAGGGAAUCUUCGGCAAUGGACGGAAGUCUGACCGAGCAACGCCGCGUGAGUGAAGAAGGUUUUCGGAUCGUAAAGCUCUGUUGUAAGAGAAGAACGAGUGUGAGAGUGGAAAGUUCACACUGUGACGGUAUCUUACCAGAAAGGGACGGCUAACUACGUG
rnacentral:rRNA from 1 species